CUGGCAUCGGUACAUGCAGCGUGAGGACUUUGCAGUCACUGUCCAGCCUUUCUUCCGGAAUACCUUUGUCCCACUGGAUGAGCGUGGGGGCCUCGACCUCACUUUCUUCUCUGAAGACUGUUUCCACUUCUCAGUCCGUGGGCAUGCUGAGAUGGCCAUUGCCCUCUGGAACAACAUGUUUCAGGCCUAGGGUGUCUGUGCCAAUCACCGUUGGGCAAAUAUUCCCACACCUGUCAGCAACCCCAUGCUGCCUGACGCUUUCCUCAGCUGACUCGAGACAAUGACUUUCUUCUUAGCUACAUCGCCACCCCCUCUGUAGCAUCCAAAGUGACAUAUACGCCUGUUCACCUGCAGGCUCAGCUCCCCUCCCAAUGACGUCACCCAUCUGCACAGCAUUAAAACUUCAUCAUAUUCUUCCUGCACAGGAUUCUAAACUGACAUCAAAAUAUCUUUGAGUUUCCCUCC
rnacentral:lncRNA from 1 species